rnacentral:rRNA from 1 species
UGGCUAACUCCUACGGGAGGCAGCAGUGGGGAAUCUUAGACAAUGGGCGAAAGCCUGAUCUAGCCAUGCCGCGUGGGUGAUGAAGGCCUUAGGGUCGUAAAGCCCUUUCGCCGGGGAAGAUAAUGACGGUACCCGGUAAAGAAACCCCGGCUAACUCCGUGCCAGCAGCCGCGGUAAUACGGAGGGGGUUAGCGUUGUUCAGAAUGACUGGGCGUAAAGCGCGCGUAGGCGGAUCGGAUAGUUGGGGGUGAAAGCCCAGGGCUCAACCCUGGAAUUGCCUUCAAAACUCCCGGUCUGGAGUUCGAGAGAGGUGGGUGGAAUUCCGAGUGUAGAGGUGAAAUUCGUAGAUAUUCGGAGGAACACCAGUGGCGAAGGCGGCCCACUGGCUCGACACUGACGCUGAGGCGCGAAAGCGCGGGGAGCAAACAGGAUUAGAAACCCUUGUAGUCCAGCUGG